rnacentral:lncRNA from 1 species
AUUGUUUUUUCUUGUUCCAAAUUCUACAAGCUGUGACAAUCAAUUUGUUUCGCCAUAUUGAACUUUCAACUUCUCCUAAAGGCAUCCCCCUCUAAAUAUAAUUGACACGUAAUAACCCAAUUUUCAAAUAUAUGUGUAAAAGUUACGUCAUGCUAUACUACAACCAUAAUCGAUCUCUAUUAUAGACAAAAUUAGUCUCAAAAAAAUUUGCUACACAACCCAGAUUUGAUAUUCAAUACCAUGUAAUUAAUUUGUUAUAUCCCAACUUUAAACUAUGCAUAUGCAAGUAAAAGUUGCAAACUGAAUUGCCUGGUCCAGUGAUAUUGAAAUUCGACCUAUUUCUUUUACAAAGCUGGUUGCUUAGUCUGCUGUUGAAAGUAAACUUCAAGUAAUAUUGUUGCAGACAAUUCAAAUAUUCCCCAUCCUGCACUUGUAAUUCCGCCUUAAGAAGCAAUUCCAGUUGACAUGUCCUUAUCCGUGCAGAUGUCUCAUAAUAAUUGGAACUUGGAAGUUCCAUUAGGAACCCCGAUGGCAACAAGCCUACCAACGCAUAAAUCGCAGAUCGCUUUUCCCUUUUACCCUAUCUUCAACACCUAUAGUAUCAACUGGUGGUCAAUCCAAGUACUUCUUUAACUUUUAUUGCUCGCCCUACUACUUGGUUUAUGAUCGAAAUGACCCAUAUCUGCCGUGUGCAAUCACGUACGAGGUUAUCAUAUGUUCAUCUUAGUCAUUUGAUGAAUUGUGGUAUGAGUAAUGCCCACAAUAAUGAUUUGAUGAAAUGCUAGUGGAAAUAUUGUAGCUCUCUGAAAUUGAAGCAUGUAUCAGUUGAGUUGGUUCACUGUUGCAAUAUUUUUUAUCAUAUUCUUGCUCAAAUAUAUAGUUUCUUGCAUUCAGUUUCUUGUUGCAUGUUGGAUUUGAGUAGAUUCAUGUGAAUAGAAUUGACCACCUAACACAGGAGAGAGGAUAUGAGUAUGGUG